rnacentral:rRNA from 1 species
UACGAAGGGUGCAAGCGUUACUCGGAAUUACUGGGCGUAAAGCGUGCGUAGGUGGUUUGUUAAGUCUGUUGUGAAAGCCCCGGGCUCAACCUGGGAAUGGCAAUGGAUACUGGCAGGCUAGAGUGCGGUAGAGGGGUAGUGGAAUUCCCGGUGUAGCGGUGAAAUGCGUAGAGAUCGGGAGGAACACCAGUGGCGAAAACAGGUUGCUGGGAGUGCGCUGACGCUGAGACACGAAAGCCAGGGGAGCGAACGGGG